UUUCCCGAGCUGGUCUCCGCCCGUCUCUCCCUCUUUCUCCUGGGUCCGUUUCUCUUCCUCUCCCUUUCCCUACUUUCUUCAUCUCCCUCUCUCUCAUUCUCUCACUUUUUUCCCACUUCUUUACUAGAUUUGGAGGACAAGAAAACUUGAAGGAUGUGCUUUUGGGCACUAGAGCAAAGGCUCCCCAACUUCUCUCCAGUUUCCCAAGCAAUGACGUCUUAGGAUGGGUUCAUCCAUGGACCUCCUCCUGGCUAGCGGCCUAUUAAUUUUACUGUCGCUGCAACAGCAUGGCCACUGACAGAUGUGUGGUGUAGGUCUGCACUGGGGAACCGAACCCUAGCCGUAGAAGUGGAGCGCAUGGAACUUAACCACUAGGCCACUGGGGCUGGCCCUCUGGCCG
rnacentral:lncRNA from 1 species